AUUGCGCCACGCAUCUCUGCUUGACUGUGUAGAUUAUCAGCCAUUUUAGCAAAUUCCCAGCAGUCUUUCACAGAUUUAUUAGCAAAGGACUACGCGAACUUGAUCAGGCAUUUGCUGCAUGGAGCUCUUUAGAAGUUUAAACAAGGAGAGUGAUUUCCCGUUAGUGGUCCAUUAGUUCUGAAGGCCUAGGCUGGGCAAGAAAAGCAAUUUUUGGUGCGCUCAGACGAUCCAAAAUUCUGUGAUAGGAAGAGAGCGAGGGGGACGACACAUGAGGAGCGGACAGCAGUUCCAGAGCGACGGAUACUGGACGUCGGCGGUUCAGAUGGUGGCUGAAGGCUCAGAGAUGAUGAAGAUGGAUACCAGAUUUUCAUCAAGAAACCAAGACACUACUAGGAACAGACUGAUCUGUGGAAUGGUCACUAAUGUUAAUGCUUCAUGUGAUUAUCAUACAAAACCAGUCAUCUUUUUUUAACUAUACUAUUGAAACUGCAGCCAGAGCAAAUGCUAACACAAUGUGUUCAUUGAUACUAUGCCAGAAAUGGCAUGGAGAGUCAUUUUAAAUUGCAUGUGUUUGUACAGUGCACAAACCAGUAAUGUUUAAACUGUAGCAUAAUCAUGAGUACACUGGAGUGCAUCUACUGUACAAAUCAAUGUAUACUCUUCAUUUUCAUAUUAUCUACCAGUAAAAUCUUACAACUGUGACAUUCAAGUAGAAUUACAUGUAGGAAUGAAAAUACCUUGUUCAUCUAAACAGAUAUUUCAGAAUUAUACAUAGUCCAAUUAAUCAAUGUCACUAAAGCUACAACUCAAAUAUUCUUCUCUGGUUUUAUUGUAAACGGAUUUCAAAAAAUAUCAGGCCGAUUAUUGUUUAAUACAAUUAUUGUUGGGUGUGUUUUAUUCAUUGGAUAAGUUAAGAAGCUCCUUUUGAAAUAGGUAUUUCCACACUGGUCAAUAAAAUAAUGCACUAGUACA